rnacentral:rRNA from 1 species
CAGCCGCCGCGGUAAUACGAAGGGGGCUAGCGUUGCUCGGAAUCACUGGGCGUAAAGGGCGCGUAGGCGGACUUUUAAGUCGGAGGUGAAAGCCCAGGGCUCAACCCUGGAAUUGCCUUCGAUACUGGGAGUCUUGAGUUCGGAAGAGGUUGGUGGAACUGCGAGUGUAGAGGUGAAAUUCGUAGAUAUUCGCAAGAACACCGGUGGCGAAGGCGGCCAACUGGUCCGAAACUGACGCUGAGGCGCGAAAGCGUGGGGAGCAAACAGGAUUAGAUACCCCCGUAGUCCCUGUCUCUUAUAC